AUUGAACGCUGGCGGCAGGCCUAACACAUGCAAGUCGAGCGGUAACAGGAGAGCUUGCUCUCGCUGACGAGCGGCGGACGGGUGAGUAAUGCGCAGGAAUCUACCCAGUAGCGGGGGAUA
rnacentral:rRNA from 1 species